UAAAAGUUUAAAUCAGAUGGACGUUUCAUUGGACGUUUAUAUGAGGGAACAAGCGUGAGAGGGAUCCCAAGUGAAGACAGGUGACAAAGCCCUUCACACCAUGGAAAGCCAAAGGAAUGUCGAAGAACUGGUGAGUGUCGAUGCCCAUGAGGCCAGGAAACUCCUGAAUUCUGGUCACCGUUACUUGGACGUGAGGAUGAGGGAGGACUUUGAGAAAGGACAUGUGGAGGGCGCCAUCAACGUUCCGUUCUACUCAUCUGUUACUCCUCAAGG